rnacentral:misc_RNA from 1 species
GGAACUUCUGCUAUUUCGACGGGAUGUUCUCAAUGUUCUUAUGUAGUCGUCUUUUCCUUUUAUUAUUGUUAUAGCUUUUCUUUUAAUGCGUGCUAGCAGCUUAUAGAGGCCAGCGGUAAUCUCUGUCGUGCCUCUACAGUUUCCUGAUGGUUAAUUACCAUGUGCAAACGUAAGUGGGGCGCUGACGCCGGACCGACUCGCCCACGACGCGCGGCAUGACGUUCGGACUUCGUGCGAGCGCCGAAGCCAUGGCUUCUGCGGCUUAUGGCGGCGACGAGAAGUGCGGGUGGCCGCACCUGCCGCCAAACGUUAUGGAGCACAUCUUCAGCUACCUGGAUCUCACUUCGGCUCGCAAUUGCACGUUGGUGUGCAAGUACUGGCACGCGCUGCUCAGUGACGAGAACAAUGACGUGUGGAGGCUACACUGCGCGCGCAAACUGGCCGAUGCAGCGCUCAAGUCCGACCUGCUCUGGAGCGUACCGAGUAGCAAGGCUAAGUUGCGCGCCUUCUACCACGCAUGGGAUCCGCGCGAGUGCUCGCGCAAUAUCUAUAUCAAGUCGAACGGUUUCACCCUGCACCGAAACCCGGUGGCACAGAGCACGGACGCCGCCAAAGGCAAGCGUGGAUUUGCAGAGGGCCGCCACUGCUGGGAGGUCUGGUGGGAAGGACCGCUCGGCACCGUCGCUGUGGUGGGCAUCGCGACACGCGAGGCCCCGCUCCAGUGUUCCGGCUACGUGGCCUUGCUAGGCUCUAACGCGCACUCCUGGGGCUGGAACCUGGUAGACAACCAUCUGCUGCACAACGGAGACAGCCAGGGCAACUACCCGUUACUCAACAAUGCACCGAAGUACCAGGUGGGAGAACGACUGCGAGUGAUCCUAGAUUGCGAAGACAAUACGCUUGCGUUUGAACGCAACUACCAAUUCCUUGGAGUUGCUUUCAGAGGUCUGCCUGACAAGACGCUCUACCCGGCUAUCUCGGCUGUCUACGGUAACACAGAAGUCUCUAUGGUGUAUUUGGGCCGACCGCUGGACGGCUGACGCUGUUCCCGAGAAACCUGUCUCGAACUGACAUCUGUCAGCAUACGUCACCUGAUGGAGCAAUUAGGUGCUGGCUGCUGUUCACCGAGGAUGGUUGAUUCUUUACGAUGGGUCACAAGGGGUCAGCACUUGUACUAUCCCUGCUACCAGUGUUGUUGAGGUGGUUAGCUGGUGGACUGAGUUUAGCACUGUGCCACAUUUGAAGCGAAACUUUCUUUGCCUCUUCACUCUAGUUUUCGGCUGCUGUCUUGCAUUAUCAGCUACUGUGAGAGGUAAUGCAAUUGAAGAUGGCUUGUGGCAGUCAGUGGUGUUAUACACGAUGUGUGUGCAAGAUAGGUCAAGUGUGUCUAAAGCAUGUCUAGAGAAAUUGUGUAUUUAUUUAUUUAUUUUGUUUCUUUAUAUACGUAUUUAUUUAUUUCCACAUACUCAGGGCCCAAGGGCAUCACAGGGAGGAGCGGUCUAACCAUAAAUUAUUAAUUGCAACUUUGAAAGCAAAAGGAUCUUUGAUUGCUGCAACGGAGGUGGGAAGGUGGUUCCAAUUACUGCUUGCUUGCAGAAAAAAAAAAAGAAGCAUAGCAAGCGUUAGUAUAGCGUAAGGGAAUAUUAACCUUGUGUUUGUGAUCAAUCCAUGAAGACUUGUAAUCUGAGGGAGGAAAAGGUCAGUUUUAAGUGUUGGGUUAUUCUAAAAAAUUUUGGGAAGAACGUUAAAGUGGAAAUACUUAUGGCAUUACUGAAGUGUUGGUAGACCUAAAUUAGCCUUCAU